rnacentral:lncRNA from 1 species
UCUCCUUCUGCAGCAGGAGGAGCUGCAGACAGAACCCCUCAGACACCGAGUUGUAGAAGGAAGGGCUUUAUUCAGCUGGGAGCAUCCGCAGACUCACGUCUCCAAAAACCAAGCUCUCCGAGUGAGCAAUUCCUGUCCCUCUUAAGGGCUUACAACUCUAAGGGGGUCCGCGUGAGAGGGUCUUGAUGGAUUGAGGAAGCAGAGGGUACGUGACUGGGGGCUGCAUGCACAGACAACGAGAGCGAAACCACAGAGAAAAGAAACAUCCCGUGCAUCACGGCCUGAUGAUGGAUUCCUGUUUCCUGCAAAAUGGGGAGUCUCCAAUAUAGCCUGUUUGAAAACUGGAAAGGAGAGCACCGACACGAUGCUGGUCUUCCACGCAUUCCUGGAAGUUUCUGGGGCCCCACAGAGCUCGCGAAACAGUCAACAUGGUCACGCUUUCGGGGGGCAGAAACUUGAGCAACAGGCACCUUUACAGAGGGCAAAGAAACGUGGAAUCCAGAAUCACGCUUCAGUUGGCCUGAGUGUGACUCCUGUGUGGAUGGGACUAUCCGCCUCGAGCUCUGUUGCAGGGCUCAACGUGGGGAUAUGUCAUCUGUGAACCAUGUGGAUGAAAAACAGACAACUACCUGGG